rnacentral:miRNA from 1 species
GCGACCCAUACUUGGUUUCCG